GACGAACGCUGGCGGCGUGCUUAACACAUGCAAGUCGAACGGAAAGGCCCUGCUUGCAGGGUACUCGAGUGGCGAACGGGUGAGUAACACGUGGGUGAUCUGCCCUGCACUUCGGGAUAAGCCUGGGAAACUGGGGCUAAUACCGGAGAGGAGCCAUUUUUAGUGUGAUGGGUGGAAAGUUUUUUCGGUGUAGGAUGAGCUCGCGGCCUAUCAGCUUGUUGGUGGGGUAAUGGCCUACCAAGGCGGCGACGGGUAGCCGGCCUGAGAGGGUGGACGGCCAAAUUGGGACUGGGAUACGGCCCCGACUCCCACGGGAGGCAGCCGUGGGGAAUAUUGCACAAAGGGCGCGAGCCUGAUGCAGCGACGCCGCGUGGGGGAUGACGGCCUUCGGGUUGUAAACCCCUUUCGCUAGGGACGAAGCUUUUUGUGACGGUACCUAGAUAAGAAGCACCGGCUAACUACGUG
rnacentral:rRNA from 1 species